rnacentral:lncRNA from 1 species
GUUGCUUUGGAAAACAUUCUCACUGUCUGUAUUCACUGGAAGCUGUUUUGGGACUCUGUUCAAGCAUACAUUUAACACUGCAUAUGGAGAGCUAUGCUGAAAAUACAAGGCAGUGCUGUUACAGCAAAGUCAGAGUGAAGUCCCACGGGAGCUGAGGCAGGGGUUCCAGUUCCUAGCACUCUAUUGUUUACCCUGAUGGUUUCCAGAUGCUGGAGACAAGGACAGUGAAAUCUUUGGGAUGCUGCCAAAGAAUGAAAAAGACUAAAGAAAACACUGAAGAAUUGUGCUGCUUUCCAGCUCCAAAACCAGAUCAGACCAUGCUGAAUGCUAAAACAAUACAACAUUUUUAUCACCCUUAAAGUGAUGAAGCACAGACUCAACCUUAAUUUUUUACCUCUUAAAAAAACCCAAUAAAAUCUAAUCUGUGUUUGAAAAUAAGACUCCC